AACGUAGGUGGCGAGCGUUAUCCGGAUUUACUGGGCGUAAAGGGUGUGCAGGCGGGCUGUUAAGUGGUGUAUGAAAUCGCCGGGCUCAACCGGGCGAGGUUAUGCCAGACUGGCAGUCUAGAGAGCGAGAGAGGGACGUGGAAUUCCGGGUGUAGUGGUGAAAUGCGUAGAGAUCCGGAGGAACACCAGUGGCGAAGGCGGUCUGCUGGGCGGUGGGGUCGCAAGACUCCGAAUGAGCCGACACUGAGGCGCGACAGCGUGGGGAGCAAACAGG
rnacentral:rRNA from 1 species